UACGGAGGGUGCAAGCGUUAUCCGGAUUCACUGGGUUUAAAAGGGUGCGUAGGUGGGUUGGUAAGUCAGUGGUGAAAGCUCCUAGCUCAACUGGGAAAUUGCCAUUGAUACUGAUGAUCUUGAGUAUGAUUGAGGUUGGCGGAAUGUGUCAUGUAGCGGUGAAAUGCUUAGAUAUGACACAGAACACCGAUUGCGAAGGCAGCUAACUAAGUCAUAACUGACGCUGAUGCACGAAAGCGUGGGGAGCAAACAGG
rnacentral:rRNA from 1 species